rnacentral:rRNA from 1 species
UACGGGGGGUGCGAGCGUUGUCCGGAAUCACUGGGCGUAAAGGGCGCGUAGGUGGCGUGAUAAGGGUGUGGUGAAAGCCCGGGGCUCAACCCCGGGUCUGCCAUGCCGACUGUCAGGCUAGAGUACUGUAGGGGCAGGCGGAAUUCCGGGUGUAGCGGUGGAAUGCGUAGAUAUCAGGAGGAACACCGGUGGCGAAGGCGGGUCUCUGGGCCGAUACUGACGCUGAGGAGCGAAAGCGUGGGGAGCGAACAGG